GCUUCGUGUCUAGGUCAGCGUCUGGGGAGUGUGAAACGUUGGUGACGUCAUCAGAUCACCAACGGUCAGUAUUUAAUUACCCGUCAUCGCGUGACUACGUCUCUUCGCCACUCCAGUUUUCAUUUCCUUUAAACCGGUAUUUCACCCACGGUACGUGAUGUACGGUUAUCUAACAGUGCCCUUGGUUAUAAAGCUUACGUCGAGAAGCUAUGCAGAGUAGCGGUAUGAAAUCAAAUACAGGUUGUAAUUCACGGAAUAAAGACCGGAGUUCUCUAUCAAGUCUCAUAAACACAAGUUACUGUACCACUUGCUGGCCGAGAAAAACGCAUCACAUUACUGUACCACUUGCUAGUUGCUUGCCUAGAAAAACACAUCAAGUUACUGUACCACUUGCUAGUCGAGAAACUGACGGCAGCUGGUAUAGGCCCAGGACUACCGAGCUGCAAAUGUUCCCAGUUGCAAUACGAAGGAUCUCCGUGCCAGUGAUGAUUAUACUACAACGAACAUUCUUGACUUCCACAUUUAAUAAUGACGCAGUUUCAAAGAUAGAGCUUCGAACUAUCAUAAGCUUAUGCAGCUCUUACAAAAGAGAAAAAGAAACUCCUCCACCCAGAAACCCCUCCACUCAGAAACCCCCCACCCCGACCCCGAAAAAAAAGGGUCUUCAGACAAGUAAGAACCACUGAAUCGACUGCUUUCAAUAUCUGUUGAACAGGAGACUUUGCUUCCAUUAGUUCAAGUAACUGAUCCUCAAGGCCGAAUUUUUGUCUUCGCUUUUAAGAAGAAGCCGUACACCAUCCAGGUUUUGCACUGAUGGGUAGUUCGAGCUAGGGCCACUUCGGAACACAGGAGUGAUUUGCCAAGAAGACGUAAACUAAAAAGAUACAAAAAAAGUAAGUGAGAACAUUCCAUCUUGUUAAUUAAAGUCUAAGAACCAGUUCGAUGAUAUCAUCACUUCUAGUAGCGGACAGAAUCUUGCAACUGGAAGCACAAGGUUUUUCUCAGUACAUUUACUUGAUUUUGGUUUCCCUUUUCUGAAGGAUUAUAAUGUGAAUCUGAUACACAAACAA